rnacentral:rRNA from 1 species
CAGUAGCCGCGGUAAAACGUAGGGUGCGAGCGUUAAUCGGAAUUACUGGGCGUAAAGCGUGCGCAGGCGGUUCGUUAAGACAGAUGUGAAAUCCCCGGGCUUAACCUGGGAACUGCAUUUGUGACUGACGGGCUAGAGUAUGGCAGAGGGGGGUAGAAUUCCACGUGUAGCAGUGAAAUGCGUAGAGAUGUGGAGGAAUACCGAUGGCGAAGGCAGCCCCCUGGGCCAAUACUGACGCUCAUGCACGAAAGCGUGGGGAGCAAACAGGAUUAGAUACCCCCGUAGUCCCUGUCUCUUAUAA